CCUACGGGUGGCAGCAGUGAGGAAUAUUGGUCAAUGGGCGAGAGCCUGAACCAGCCAAGUCGCGUGAGGGAGUACUGCCCUAUGGGUUGUAAACCUCUUUUGUCGGGGAGCAAAAGCCGGACGUGUCCGGCUGUGAGAGUACCCGAAGAAAAAGCAUCGGCUAACUCCGUGCCAGCAGCCGCGGUAAUACGGAGGAUGCGGGCGUUAUCCGGAUUUAUUGGGUUUAAAGGGUGCGCAGGCGGAUUUUUAAGUCAGCGGUAAAAUCGUGGGGCUCAACCCCAUCCAGCCGUUGAAACUGGGGAUCUAGAGUGUGCGAGAGGUAGGCGGAAUGCGUGGUGUAGCGGUGAAAUGCAUAGAUGUCACGCAGAACCCCGAUUGCGAAGGCAGCAUACCGGUGCACAACUGACGCUCAGGCACGAAAGCGUGGGUAUCGAACAGGAUUAGAUACCCGGGUAGUC
rnacentral:rRNA from 1 species